rnacentral:rRNA from 1 species
AUUGAACGCUGGCGGCAGGCCUAACACAUGCAAGUCGAGCGGAUGAAGGGAGCUUGCUCUCUGAUUUAGCGGCGGACGGGUGAGUAACGCCUAGGAAUCUGCCUGGUAGUGGGGGACGACGUUUCGAAAGGAACGCUAAUACCGCAUACGUCCUACGGGAGAAAGCAGGGGACCUUCGGGCCUUGCGCUAUCAGAUGAGCCUAGGUCGGAUUAGCUAGUAGGUGAGGUAAUGGCUCACCUAGGCGACGAUCCGUAACUGGUCUGAGAGGAUGAUCAGUCACACUGGAACUGAGACACGGUCCAGACUCCUACGGGAGGCAGCAGUGGGGAAUAUUGGACAAUGGGCGAAAGCCUGAUCCAGCCAUGCCGCGUGUGUGAAGAAGGUCUUCGGAUUGUAAAGCACUUUAAGUUGGGAGGAAGGGCAGUAAGCUAAUACCUUGCUGUUUUGACGUUACCGACAGAAUAAGCACCGGCUAACUCUGUGCCAGCCGCCGCAGUAAUAC